GUGGGGAAUCUUCCACAAUGGACGAAAGUCUGAUGGAGCAACGCCGCGUGAGUGAAGAAGGGUUUCGGCUCGUAAAGCUCUGUUGUCGGGGACGAAUGUGCAGUAUUUGAAUAAAGUGCUGCAAUGACGGUACCUGACGAGGAAGCCACGGCUAACUACGUGCCAGCAGCCGCGGUAAUACGUAGGUGGCAAGCGUUGUCCGGAAUUAUUGGGCGUAAAGGGAGCGCAGGCGGGAAGGUAAGUCGGUCUUAAAAGUGCGGGGCUCAACCCCGUGAUGGGAUCGAAACUAUCUUUCUUGAGUGCAGGAGAGGAAAGUGGAAUUCCUAGUGUAGCGGUGAAAUGCGUAGAUAUUAGGAGGAACACCAGUGGCGAAGGCGACUUUCUGGACUGUAACUGACGCUGAGGCUCGAAAGCCAGGGGAGCGAACGGGAUUAGAUACCCUAGUAGUCC
rnacentral:rRNA from 1 species